rnacentral:rRNA from 1 species
UUGAACGCUGGCGGCAGGCCUAACACAUGCAAGUCGAACGGUAACAGGAAGCAGCUUGCUGCUUUGCUGACGAGUGGCGGACGGGUGAGUAAUGUCUGGGAAACUGCCUGAUGGAGGGGGAUAACUACUGGAAACGGUAGCUAAUACCGCAUAACGUCGCAAGACCAAAGAGGGGGACCUUAGGGCCUCUUGCCAUCGGAUGUGCCCAGAUGGGAUUAGCUAGUAGGUGGGGUAACGGCUCACCUAGGCGACGAUCCCUAGCUGGUCUGAGAGGAUGACCAGCCACACUGGAACUGAGACACGGUCCAGACUCCUACGGGAGGCAGCAGUGGGGAAUAUUGCACAAUGGGCGCAAGCCUGAUGCAGCCAUGCCGCGUGUAUGAAGAAGGCCUUCGGGUUGUAAAGUACUUUCAGCGGGGAGGAAGGGAGUAAAGUUAAUACCUUUGCUCAUUGACGUUACCCGCAGAAGAAGCACCGGCUAACUCCGUGCCAGCAGCCGCGGUAAUACGGAGGGUGCAAGCGUUAAUCGGAAUUACUGGGCGUAAAGCGCACGCAGGCGGUUUGUUAAGUCAGAUGUGAAAUCCCCGGGCUCAACCUGGGAACUGCAUCGGAUACUGGCAAGCUUGAGUCUCGUAGAGGGGGGUAGAAUUCCAGGUGUAGCGGUGAAAUGCGUAGAGAUCUGGAGGAAUACCGGUGGCGAAGGCGGCCCCCUGGACGAAGACUGACGCUCAGGUGCGAAAGCGUGGGGAGCAAACAGGAUUAGAUACCCUGGUAGUCCACGCCGUAAACGAUGUCGACUUGGAGGUUGUGCCCUUGAGGCGUGGCUUCCGGAGCUAACGCGUUAAGUCGACCGCCUGGGGAGUACGGCCGCAAGGUUAAAACUCAAAUGAAUUGACGGGGGCCCGCACAAGCGGUGGAGCAUGUGGUUUAAUUCGAUGCAACGCGAAGAACCUUACCUGGUCUUGACAUCCACGGAAGUUUUCAGAGAUGAGAAUGUGCCUUCGGGAACCGUGAGACAGGUGCUGCAUGGCUGUCGUCAGCUCGUGUUGUGAAAUGUUGGGUUAAGUCCCGCAACGAGCGCAACCCUUAUCCUUUGUUGCCAGCGGUCCGGCCGGGAACUCAAAGGAGACUGCCAGUGAUAAACUGGAGGAAGGUGGGGAUGACGUCAAGUCAUCAUGGCCCUUACGACCAGGGCUACACACGUGCUACAAUGGCGCAUACAAAGAGAAGCGACCUCGCGAGAGCAAGCGGACCUCAUAAAGUGCGUCGUAGUCCGGAUUGGAGUCUGCAACUCGACUCCAUGAAGUCGGAAUCGCUAGUAAUCGUGGAUCAGAAUGCCACGGUGAAUACGUUCCCGGGCCUUGUACACACCGCCCGUCACACCAUGGGAGUGGGUUGCAAAAGAAGUAGGUAGCUUAACCUUCGGGAGGGCGCUUACCACUUUGUGAUUCAUGACUGGGGUG